rnacentral:rRNA from 1 species
AUGAACGCUGGCGGCGUGCCUAAUACAUGCAAGUCGAGCGAACAGACGAGGAGCUUGCUCCUCUGACGUUAGCGGCGGACGGGUGAGUAACACGUGGAUAACCUACCUAUAAGACUGGGAUAACUUCGGGAAACCGGAGCUAAUACCGGAUAACAUGUUGAACCGCAUGGUUCAACAGUGAAAGACGGUCUUGCUGUCACUUAUAGAUGGAUCCGCGCCGCAUUAGCUAGUUGGUAAGGUAACGGCUUACCAAGGCAACGAUGCGUAGCCGACCUGAGAGGUUGAUCGGCCACACUGGAACUGAGACACGGUCCAGACUCCUACGGGAGGCAGCAGUAGGGAAUCUUCCGCAAUGGGCGAAAGCCUGACGGAGCAACGCCGCGUGAGUGAAGAAGGUCUUCGGAUCGUAAAACUCUGUUAUUAGGGAAGAACAAAUGUGUAAGUAACUAUGCACGUCUUGACGGUACCUAAUCAGAAAGCCACGGCUAACUACGUG